CAGGAACCUACUUGCAGUUGCAUUUAACUGAGCUCUGUUGCUGUGAAGAAUACAGCUCAUGCACAGGUUAGCAUGCUAACUAGCAACUUACCUGGUUCAUGAAUCAUGUAAUGAACCCAGCCUAGACUCUGUUGGACACCAAGUCUCCUCCACUCCUCUUCAGACAUCAGAAAAGGACAUGCAGUUAAAAUACAGAAGGCAGGCCUUCCUGGUGGUGCAGUGGGAGCGCAGCACUGAGAAGUGGCUUCAGUGGGAGUUUG